UACGAAGGGGGCUAGCGUUACUCGGAAUUAUUGGGCGUAAAGCGUGCGUAGGCGGCUUAGUAAGUUGGAAGUGAAAGCCCAGGGCUCAACCUUGGAAUUGCUUUCAAAACUACUAGGCUAGAGUGUCAGAGAGGAUAGCGGAAUCCUAGUGUAGAAGUGAAAUUCGUAGAUAUUAGGAGGAACACCGGAGGCGUAAGCGGCUAUCUGGCUGAAUACUGACGCUGUUGCACGAAAGCGUGGGUAGCAAACAGG
rnacentral:rRNA from 1 species